rnacentral:rRNA from 1 species
CAGCAGCCACGGUAAUACAGAGGGUGCGAGCGUUAAUCGAAUUUACUGGGCGUAAAGCGUGCGUAGGCGGCUUUUUAAGUCGGAUGUGAAAUCCCUGAGCUUAACUUAGGAAUUGCAUUCGAUACUGGGAAGCUAGAGUAUGGGAGAGGAUGGUAGAAUUCCAGGUGUGGCGGUGAAAUGCGUAGAGAUCUGGAGGAAUACCGAUGGCGAAGGCAGCCAUCUGGCCUAAUACUGACGCUGAGGUACGAAAGCAUGGGGAGCGAACAGGAUUAGAUACUCGCGUAGUCCCUGUCUCUUGUAC